UGGGGAAUUUUGGGACAAUGGGGGAAACCCUGAUCCAGCCAUCCCGCGUGUGCGAUGAAGGCCUUCGGGUUGUAAAGCACUUUUGGCAGGAAAGAAACGUCGCGGGUUAAUACCCCGCGAAACUGACGGUACCUGCAGAAUAAGCACCGGCUAACUACGUGCCAGCAGCCGCGGUAAUACGUAGGGUGCAAGCGUUAAUCGGAAUUACUGGGCGUAAAGCGUGCGCAGGCGGUUCGGAAAGAAAGAUGUGAAAUCCCAGAGCUUAACUUUGGAACUGCAUUUUUAACUACCGGGCUAGAGUGUGUCAGAGGGAGGUGGAAUUCCGCGUGUAGCAGUGAAAUGCGUAGAUAUGCGGAGGAACACCGAUGGCGAAGGCAGCCUCCUGGGAUAACACUGACGCUCAUGCACGAAAGCGUGGGGAGCAAACAGGAUUAGAUACCCUGGUAGUCCACGCCCCUAAACGAUGUCAACUAGCUGUUGGGGGCCUUCGGGCCUUGGUAGCGCAGCUAACGCGUGAAGUUGACCGCCUGGGGAGUACGGUCGCAAGAUUAAAA
rnacentral:rRNA from 1 species